GACGAACGCUGGCGGCGUGCCUAAUACAUGCAAGUUGAGCGCUGAAGGUUGGUACUUGUACCAACUGGAUGAGCAGCGAACGGGUGAGUAACGCGUGGGGAAUCUGCCUUUGAGCGGGGGACAACAUUUGGAAACGAAUGCUAAUACCGCAUAAAAACUUUAAACACAAGUUUUAAGUUUGAAAGAUGCAAUUGCAUCACUCAAAGAUGAUCCCGCGUUGUAUUAGCUAGUUGGUGAGGUAAAGGCUCACCAAGGCGAUGAUACAUAGCCGACCUGAGAGGGUGAUCGGCCACAUUGGGACUGAGACACGGCCCAAACUCCUACGGGAGGCAGCAGUAGGGAAUCUUCGGCAAUGGACGAAAGUCUGACCGAGCAACGACGCGUGAGUGAAGAAGGGUUUCGGAUCGUAAAACUCUGUUGGUAGAGAAGAACGUUGGUGAGAGUGGAAAGCUCAUCAAGUGACGGUAACUACCCAGAAAGGGACGGCUAACUACGUG
rnacentral:rRNA from 1 species